AUUGAACGCUGGCGGCAGGCCUAACACAUGCAAGUCGAGCGGAUGAGAAGAGCUUGCUCUUCGAUUCAGCGGCGGACGGGUAAGUAAUGCCUAGGAAUCUGCCUGGUAGUGGGGGACAACGUUUCGAAAGGAACGCUAAUACCGCAUACGUCCUACGGGAGAAAGCAGGGGACCUUCGGGCCUUGCGCUAUCAGAUGAGCCUAGGUCGGAUUAGCUAGUUGGUGAGGUAAUGGCUCACCAAGGCGACGAUCCGUAACUGGUCUGAGAGGAUGAUCAGUCACACUGGAACUGAGACACGGUCCAGACUCCUACGGGAGGCAGCAGUGGGGAAUAUUGGACAAUGGGCGAAAGCCUGAUCCAGCCAUGCCGCGUGUGUGAAGAAGGUCUUCGGAUUGUAAAGCACUUUAAGUUGGGAGGAGGGGCAGUAAGUUAAUACCUCGCUGUUUUGACGUUACCGGCAGAAUAAGCACCGGCUAACUCUGUGCCAGCCGCCGCCGUAAUAC
rnacentral:rRNA from 1 species